UGGGGGAAUCUUGCGCAAUGGGCGAAAGCCUGACGCAGCCAUGCCGCGUGAGUGAUGAAGGCCUUAGGGUUGUAAAACUCUUUCACCGGGGACGAUAAUGACGGUACCCGGAGAAGAAGCCCCGGCUAACUUCGUGCCAGCAGCCGCGGUAAUACGAAGGGGGCUAGCGUUGCUCGGAAUUACUGGGCGUAAAGGGCGCGUAGGCGGAUCAGCAAGUUGGGGGUGAAAGCCCGGGGCUCACCUCGGAAUUGCCUUCAAACUGCUGAUCUAGAGUACGGGAGAGGUGUGUGGAACUCCGAGUGUAGAGGUGAAAUUCGUAGAUAUUCGGAAGAGCACCAGUGGCGAAGGCGACACACUGGCCCGUUACUGACGCUGAGGCGCGAAAGCGUGGGGAGCAAACAGGAUUAGAUACCCUGGUAGUCCACGCUGUAAACGAUGAUUGCUAGUUGUCGGCAGGCAUGCCUGUCGGUGACGCAGCUAACGCAUUAAGCAAUCCGCCUGGGGAGUACGGUCGCAAGAUUAAAACUCAAAGGAAUUGACGGGGGUCAUAGCUGUUUCCUG
rnacentral:rRNA from 1 species